rnacentral:rRNA from 1 species
GAAUUGUUCGCAAUGGGCGCAAGCCUGACGACGCAACGCCGCGUGGAGGAUGAAGAUCUUCGGGUCGUAAACUCCUUUCGAUCGAGACGAACGGCCUCCGGGUGAACAAUCCGGGGGAGUGACGGUACCGAGAGAAGAAGCCCCGGCUAACUCCGUGCCAGCAGCCGCGGUAAUACGGGGGGGGCAAGCGUUGUUCGGAAUUACUGGGCGUAAAGCGCGCGUAGGCGGUACGGUAAGUAAGGUGUGAAAGCCCCAGGCUUAACCUGGGGAGGUCAUCUUCGACUGCCGCACUCGAGUCGUGCAGAGGGUGGUGGAAUUGCCGGUGUAGUGGUGAAAUGCGUAGAGAUCGGCAGGAACACCAAGGGCGAAAGCAGCCACCUGGGCACGUACUGACGCUGAGGUGCGAAAGCGUGGGGAGCGAAC